rnacentral:rRNA from 1 species
AUUGAACGCUGGCGGCAGGCUUAACACAUGCAAGUCGAGCGGGCGAAGUUGCUUCGGUAACUGAGCUAGCGGCGGACGGAUGAGUAAUGCUUAGGAAUCUGCCUAUUAGUGGGGGACAACAUUCCGAAAGGGAUGCUAAUACCGCAUACGUCCUACGGGAGAAAGCAGGGGAUCACUUGUGACCUUGCGCUAAUAGAUGAGCCUAAGUCGGAUUAGCUAGUUGGUGGGGUAAAGGCCUACCAAGGCGACGAUCUGUAGCGGGUCUGAGAGGAUGAUCCGCCACACUGGGACUGAGACACGGCCCAGACUCCUACGGGAGGCAGCAGUGGGGAAUAUUGGACAAUGGGGGGAACCCUGAUCCAGCCAUGCCGCGUGUGUGAGGAAGGCCUUUUGGUUGUAAAGCACUUUAAGUGGGGAGGAGGCUUACCUGGUUAAUACCUGGGCUAAGUGGACGUUACCCACAGAAUAAGCACCGGCUAACUCUGUGCCAGCCGCCGCCGUAAUAC